rnacentral:rRNA from 1 species
UACGGAGGGGACUAGCGUUGUUCGGAAUCACUGGGCAUAAAGCGCACGUAGGUGGUGUCGUAAGUCGGGUGUGAAAUCCCUCGGCCUAACCGAGGAACUGCGCCCGAUACUGCGAUGCUUGAGGAUCAGAGGGGUGCAUGGAAUUUCCGGUGGAGCGGUGAAAUGCGUUGAUAUCGGAAGGAACUCCGGCGGCGAGAGCGAUGCACUGGCUGAUUUCUGACACUGAGGUGCGAAAGCCAGGGGAGCAAACGGG